rnacentral:rRNA from 1 species
AUUGACCGCUGGCGGCAGGCUUAACACAUGCAAGUCGAACGAGUCGCGGACGGGUGAGUAAUGCUUGUGAAUCUAGCUUAUGGAGGGGGAUCACUACGGGGACCUGUAGCUACUACCGCGUACCAUAGGAUGAGCCCGAGGAGGAUUGGGUAGGUGGUGAGGUAAAGGCACACCAAGCAGACGAUCUCUAGCUGGUCUGAGAGGAUGACCAGCGACACUGGGACUGAGACACGGCCCAGACUCCUACGGGAGGCAGCAGUGGGGAAUAUUGGGCAAUGGGGGCAACCUGACGCAGCCAUGCCGCGUGAAUGAAGAAGGCCUUCGGGUUGUAAAGUUCUUUCGGUAGCGAGGCGUUAACUACAGAAGAAGCACCGGCUAACUCCGUGCCAGCAGCCGCGGUAAUUC